UACGGGGGGGGCAAGCGUUGUUCGGAAUUACUGGGCGUAAAGGGCUCGUAGGCGGCCAACUAAGUCAGACGUGAAAUCCCUCGGCUUAACCGGGGAACUGCGUCUGAUACUGGAUGGCUUGAGUUUGGGAGAGGGAUGCAGAAUUCCAGGUGUAGCGGUGAAAUGCGUAGAUAUCUGGAGGAAUACCGGUGGCGAAGGCGGCAUCCUGGACCGAGAUUGACACUGAUGAGCGAAAGCUAGGGAGCAAACGGG
rnacentral:rRNA from 1 species